UACGUAGGGUGCGAGCGUUAAUCGGAAUUACUGGGCGUAAAGAGUGCGUAGGCGGUUCUUUGUGACCGCUGUGAAAGCCCCGGGCUUAACCUGGGAAUGGCAGUGGAAACUAGAGAACUUGAAUCUGGCAGAGGGGGGUGGAAUGCCACGUGUAGCAGUGAAAUGCGUAGAUAUGUGGCGGAACACCGAUGGCGAAGGCAGCCCCCUGGGCUGAGAUUGACGCUCAGGCACGAAAGCGUGGGGAGCAAACAGG
rnacentral:rRNA from 1 species